rnacentral:rRNA from 1 species
CAGCCGCCGCGGUAAUACGAAGGGGGCUAGCGUUGCUCGGAAUGACUGGGCGUAAAGGGCGCGUAGGCGGUUUUCCAAGUUAGAUGUGAAAUUCCUGGGCUCAACCUGGGGACUGCAUUUGAUACUGGGAGGCUUGAGUAUGGAAGAGGGUCGUGGAAUUCCCAGUGUAGAGGUGAAAUUCGUAGAUAUUGGGAAGAACACCGGUGGCGAAGGCGGCGACCUGGUCCAUAACUGACGCUGAGGCGCGAAAGCGUGGGGAGCAAACAGGAUUAGAUACCCGAGUAGUCCCUGUCUCUUAUAC